rnacentral:rRNA from 1 species
GACGAACGCUGGCGGCGUGCUUAACACAUGCAAGUCGAACGGAAAGGCCCUGCUUGCAGGGUACUCGAGUGGCGAACGGGUGAGUAACACGUGGGUGAUCUGCCCUGCACUUCGGGAUAAGCCUGGGAAACUGGGUCUAAUACCGGACAGGAGCCAUUUUUAGUGUGAUGGUUGGAAAGUUUUUUCGGUGUAGGAUGAGCUCGCGGCCUAUCAGCUUGUUGGUGGGGUAAUGGCCUACCAAGGCGGCGACGGGUAGCCGGCCUGAGAGGGUGGACGGCCACAUUGGGACUGAGGGACGGCCCAGACUCCGACGGGAGGCAGCAGGGGGGAAUAUUGCACAAUGGGCGCAAGCCUGAUGCAGCGACGCCGCGUGGGGGAUGACGGCCUUCGGGUUGUAAACUCCUUUCGCUAGGGACGAAGCUUUUUGUGACGGUACCUAGAUAAGAAGCACCGGCUAACUACGUG